rnacentral:rRNA from 1 species
CAGGGUACUCGAGUGGCGAACGGGUGAGUAACACGUGGGUGAUCUGCCCUGCACUUCGGGAUAAGCUUGGGAAACUGGGUCUAAUACCGGAUAGGACCGCACUUUAGUGUGUGUGGUGGAAAGUUUUUUCGGUGUAGGAUUAGCUCGCGGCCUAUCAGCUUGUUGGUGGGGUAAUGGCCUACCAAGGCGGCGACGGGUAGCCGGCCUGAGAGGGUGUACGGCCACAUUGGGACUGAGAUACGGCCCAG